CGGGGCGUGGCGCAGGCUGGUAGCGCACCUGACUGGGGGUCAGGAGGUCGCCGGUUCAAAUCCGGCCGCCCCGACCA
rnacentral:tRNA from 2 species